GGAAUAUUGGUCAAUGGACGAAAGUCUGAACCAGCCAAGUAGCGUGCAGGAUGACGGCCCUAUGGGUUGUAAACUGCUUUUAUAUAGGGAUAACGUCGGGGACGUGUCCCCGUUUGUAGGUACUAUAUGAAUAAGGACCGGCUAAUUCCGUGCCAGCAGCCGCGGUAAUACGGAAGGUCCGGGCGUUAUCCGGAUUUAUUGGGUUUAAAGGGAGCGCAGGCCGGAGGUCAAGCGUGACGUGAAAUGUAGCCGCUCAACCGGUGAUGUGCGUCGCGAACUGGCUUUCUUGAGUGAGUACGACGCUGGCGGAAUUCGUGGUGUAGCGGUGAAAUGCUUAGAUAUCACGAAGAACUCCGAUUGCGAAGGCAGCCUACAAGGCCUUUACUGACGCUAAAGCUCGAAGGUGCGGGUAUCGAACA
rnacentral:rRNA from 1 species